GCGGGGUGGGAGCCGCGAGGCGCGCGGCGGGAGCAGCGCCGCACGCCGACCCAGCGCUUCGCCAAUCGAGGUGCACAUCCCUGACAGCGUGCACCGGCGGCUCCACGGCCCCGCCGGGGCCCACCACGGGCCCCCGACGUGCCACGAGAGUCGCACCGCUUGAACCGCAAUCAGGUGCAGCCGAAAAUCGAUAGCAGACGAUCUCGCAGCGUGUAAUCAAUUCCCUGUAGCCGAGUAGACACCCAAGGGGAUGUUGACCAAGAGGACCGAUAAUCUUGCCCCUCUCCUCCCAUCCGAACCUCAACGUACGUUUUAGCCCAAUCUCCGAACACUCUACAGCAGCUUCCUAGACUAUCACAUUUGAUCAGGUGUUUUCUUGCAACGAUCGAGUCUCGUUUUUCCCAUUUUCCAAGCGCUACCAAAUGUACUGAAACACACAGAGAAGAAACUAUUAUAUUAUAUACUACGACGCCGCUCGUUUCCAAUCUAUAUAUCCGCAGAAAUUACAUGUAGUGUGUAUGAAGACGAAAAAAAUAAGAGAAAUUAUUCUAUAUUGGGUACGCUGGAAAAUGAGAAUGUGAAAUAACACACGGAUCGUGUCGAAGACGGCGUAGAAUCAGCAGAAAAGAUGUUUUAACGAUUAGAAGGUAUUAUCGUUUAUGAAUUACAGAGAUUAUAAAUAUAAUUGAUUUUGGAAAUUCUCGCCAUCGCCUGAAUCAAGUUCAAAUCGAGAGUAACAUAGAUUGAAAUAUACUAGACAGCAAAGUAGGCCGUACACCACACAUACUAUAUCGUAGUAGGACGAGAGAAAAUUCGAAUUUCGCCCCUGAAAAAAACACACGCCCCUUCCACCCCCCGCCCUCUCUUCUCGAUUUUGCAGAACGGUCGACCUACACUCGAAUCGAUGUGAGGCGGUGAACAUUAUUGUGAAAGACACGCUUGCAAACCUUUUGAUUGCAGUGAUAGCUGAGAAUUUAUUCUCUCAGCACCCUUCCACAUAAUUAUACUGAGCUUUUAUACAAAAGUGGGGGAGGCAGACGCUUCCAUAGUUUCUAAUUGAAGUAAGUGAAUACUAAAACUUAAUAGCCCUUGAAAUUCAUCAGCGCGUACACACAUAUUUUAGCAAAGUCCAAAUUUUGCUUUAGACAUUCCGCUGACGACCUCUAGUCUGAAAAAUUCUUCUGUGUCGGAUAGAAAUUCUCAGGUGCUCCCUAAAAAUUGAGAAAAUAUUCUACUAGCAAACCUUGCGUGUAUUUUGUAGUAGUCAUUUCGAGGGAUGAAUGGAGCGAACAACAAUAAAUCCAUAGCCAAUUACCGAAAUUUGGCGGGAAAGGGACUACCCUGAGAUUAUUCGUGUGAAAAGUGGACGUAUUUUCCCGCCAGGCUGCGAAGAGGGGAGGGGGCGCGACCGCCUGACUAAUGAGUCAUUCAAACGAGCUUCACGGCCGCACCCCCCACCCCCGACGCACCAACGCGUUCAGUGUAGUGUGUUAUUCUCGUAAAAAUAACGUAGACUGCUGUGUCUUGGUUCCAAUAUGGCGACACCGGCUGCGCAGUAGCACUAAACACGCACUAAUAUCCACGCAUGCGCAGUGAAAGUUGGAUUGUUGUUUAGUUAUGAUUUACUGCGCAUGCGUGGUACCUACUAAAACCUUCUGCGCAUGCAUUUUUCCUGAAAUAAAGUAAUGCGCAGUUGGUUACUAAGCACGCUUGGCAUGCGCAGUAGGUUGCAGUGCAAUUUAGUCUUGCUUGGAGGGUCGAGUUGAUUUAGUAAAUUAAGUUUAACAGUAGAGUUCCUAAUUAACGCAUAAUUAUCUUCAUUUUGAGUGAAAAUCGAAGGUUGCAGUUGUUUCCCGCGCACUUUUAAAAUGCGCAAUCGACUUCUGAGCUGCGCGGUGGGUUUCUUAAGGAAAUGUAACAUGCGCAGAACACUUUCAUAAGACUGGAUCAUGCGCAGUAGAUGUGACACAUGCGCAGUAGGCUCCUGAACACUUGAAUCGUGCGCAGUGAGUGAAAGAGAGUAUAUAAACAAUCACAUCCCCCUAUGUAAUGCGCAUGCGCAACUUUUGAGUUCCUCACGGCGAAUGAAGAGACCUGAAAGCCGGUGGCGCCAUGUGCAGGACACUGUUAGCGUUGUGCGUACCGUUUCUCCAGACGUUUAAAAAGGAUAGCUGCGCUGCAGGCAGAGCCUUUCUUCGUUAGGCGGGUUCCCUAUCUAGUCGAGAGGGGCGCGAACAAGAGUCAAAGCCCGCGGGUUCUCAGCACUGCGUUUGCUCCUCUCUAUAAUGCCAGCGGCAGUAUUCAAGAAUAUGUGUCGCUUCGUCCGCAGCGGCAAUAAAAAAGAAAAGAAAAGAAACAACUGCUUAUAACAUUCUCUUCUUAUUGUCCGAGCUAUAGCACCUAGACACGAUUGUAUAGACUUUUGAGAUGAAAUCGUUUUCGAGCGCUCUCGCAUUUACACAUUUUUCGGUAGGGCGACCUUUUUGACGCCGCUUAUUAUAUUUAUAAUACUAUAUAACUAAACUGAUACGAGACAGACUACUAAGGGAUAUAAAAUCUAUAUAGUGAACCGAUUAAUGACCAAAGACGACUGCUUUUUUGAUUCCAUUUUUUGAUGAUAAACUUACAGCGUGUAGCAAACGCUCCUUUUUGGAACAGUUUUCCUAUAAAAACAGAAAAAUUCUUUUCACUAGAGCUGGACACAAGCGUGAUAAACGACGGAUUAUAUAGCUAUUAAGUCGCGGUGAUAUAUAAAUGUGAAUUUAUUGUCGACUCAGUUCAAGUUUCCGACGCCUCUAUCAUUUUGUUGCUGUUAUUCACUGUGUAUAUGUAUUUUGUGAAAAUAAAUUCAUGUAAAACGACCGGAGCUAACUGAUUUACACGGAAACACCGCCAAAAUUGAUGUGUGAUAUAUACAUACGAAGUUAAUUAUAAUUUGAUUGUCUUGUAAUUGAUACGUACGGCGUCCUCGUGUGUGCAAUCGUGGUUUAUUAUUUCCGUGCUCGUAAUUGUCUCUUGUCGACCGUACGCUAGUCUCGCAAUCUCGUCUCUCUGCUCUCUCUCUACAUGUACGUUGUGCAUUUAUGUGUGUGUGUGUUUGUAUAUGUACGUAUUACGUGUGUGUAGUAUGCUCUCUAUCUCUCUCUAUAGUCCAUAUCAAAUCAAAAUGCAUAUUAAAUCGUCAUUACUAUGCGGCGCCGGACACACGCCCGACGCGCCGCGCUCUUAAUUGUCUCUCCACCCCCUCGCACCCGCUCUCUACCUCCCGUCCGUAUCUCUAUCUCUCUCUUUCAUUGUUUGUGCUUUUUCUCUAAUUGUCUCAAUAAAUAAUUCACGUCUCACACUAUA